rnacentral:rRNA from 1 species
UGAGUAACCUGCCCCAGACUCUGGGAUAAGCACUGGAAACGGUGUCUAAUACCGGAUACGAACUUCAGCCGCAUGGCUAGGAGUUGGAAAGAAUUUCGGUCUGGGAUGGACUCGCGGCCUAUCAGCUUGUUGGUGAGGUAAUGGCUCACCAGGGCGACGGACGGGUAGCCGGCCUGAGGAGGGUGACCGGCCACACGUGGGACUGGAGGCACGGCCCAGACCUCCGUACGGGNGCAGCAG